UUAUAAAGCAAUGGGAAGAUAUGGGGAGGUACAGCUAGAACAGGUUCAGAAGAGGUUGAAGCUGCCUGAACAGUGAAGGCAAAGAUUUUGGAAGAACAGACUGAGGAAGGAGCUAAUGAUACUCCAAAAGAGGAUCAAGUCCUUCUUUGGAAAUGCUUAAGCCUGGGGAUCUAUCCUGAGACAAGAUAGUUUGGGACCAUCCUGUCAAGAGAGAGGUUGGGACCAAGAGGAAGCUCUUGAGUCAUCACUGUGGUGCUCUGCUAUCACCAGCUAUCUUGUGGCAUAAACCUUAUCCUGAACUGGUCAAAUUUAAUAACAAACCAGGUGAUGGAUGACCCUUCUUGGCAGACUCAGCAAAACCCAUCCUGCCUUGAGGUCCUAUAGAGUAAUGGAUCAUAAUGAGUAGAUAAUUAAGUCUGAUAAAA